rnacentral:rRNA from 1 species
AUUGUAGGCUGAAACUCGCCUAUAUGAAGUCGGAAUUGCUAGUAAUCGCGGAUCAGCAUGCCGCGGUGAAUACGUUCCCGGGCCUUGUACACACCGCCCGUCACACCAUGAGAGUCGAUAACACCCGAAGCCUGUAGUCCAACAGCAAUGAGGACGCAGUCGAAGGUGGGAUUGAUAAUUAGGGUGAAGUCGUAACAAGGUAAC